rnacentral:lncRNA from 1 species
CUUAAAAAAUAAAAGAAAAAGAUAGUCUAUUCUCUUUCCCAGGGUCUCAAGUUGCAUAUAUGUGUGAGCAUCUUCUCCACGUGUCUGUUUCUCUGGGAAUCAUUUCACGUUCACCUUUUUUUAUCUGCUGACAAGGUUAUAGGCUUUGAAGUCAGAUAGACUUGGAUUUGAAUUUUACCUUUUUCACUCCGUAGUUCUGAGAUCUUGAGCAAAUUGCUUGCUCUCUCUGGACCUCAGCCUGCUCAUCCAUGAAAUGUGUGAAAGUGUUGCAAAGAGUUGUCUGCAGUUCUUUAGAUCCCUGCUCACAGGUCACCUUCUCAGAGAGACCUUUGCUGACCAUCCCACGCAAACACCCUGCCCCAGUGCAGAGGAAGCGUGCGCGUGGAGUCUGCUCCACAACGGAGGCUGAGUUCAUAAAUCCACCUUUAUCUUGGCAAAGCUACCCACUGAUCUAA